AGGAGGAGCCAGGAGGCCAGCGUGGGAAGCACAGAGUCAGCUGGGGCCAGGCUAUGUGGGGCUUGCAGCAUCAAGCAGCUAACGCCCAACAAGGACCAGACAUGCAAGAUGAGAAAGCCGAGGUAUGGAGAGGCAAAACAACGUGCUCGGGGGCACACAGCUAGCAGAGGAAGUGAGUGGAGUCACUCUCCGGCCGGCUGAGGUCUGAAGCUCCGUCUUACCCACUGCCCAUCUCUUGUUCUCCUGGUGAAUUCCUACUCAUCUUUCAGACUCAGCUCAAAACUCACCUCCCUGAAGGGGUCUUCCUUGACCCCUUUUCCUACCAUCCCUAGAUAAAGCCAGUUGCCUCUCCCUAAGAGGUCUCUCA